CUGCUGCACUAGUAAUCCUGCUCAGUAUGAGAGAAACCACAGGUUCAGAUUUUGGGUUUCUGUGCCGGGCUGAGGAGCCACUGGUGCGAAGCUGCCAAUUGUCGAUUAUGACUGAACACCUCUAAAACAUCAUCUCUCCUGAGAGGUAAUGG
rnacentral:ncRNA from 1 species